CUAGGCUGACCAUGGCCUUCUCACCUACAGGGUGCGCAUCAAACAAAUGAAGCCAAAGGAUGUGAAAAACAAGGCCAGUGACGGACUGUGUCCAUGUACUUUUGGAUACGCACAGAAAUGAGAAGACUGUGUUGAAGCUCUAUGAGAUCUGCAAGGAUGGAAGAGCACAUAACCAGCAUGGAGAAUGUCUGGACCACAAGUAGUGGAAACAGUAUUGCUCUCAGCAGAAGACUGUCCAGGCCUGAGCCAGUCAGGGUCGAGUGUGUCGGCUGGUGCCGGAGC